UACAGAGGUCUCAAGCGUUGUUCGGAUUCAUUGGGCGUAAAGAGUGUGUAGGCGGUGUUCCCAGUCUGUUGUGAAAUCUCCCGGCUUAACUGGGAGGGUGCAGCGGAAACUAGAAUGCUAGAGGGUGGGAGAGGUAAGCGGAAUUCCUGGUGUAGCGGUGAAAUGCGUAGAUAUCGGCAGGAACACCCAGGGGGAAACCAGCCGGCUGGGGACGAGCUGACGCUCAGGGGCGAAAGCGUGGGGAGCGAACCGG
rnacentral:rRNA from 1 species